GGUAUCAGUGGUAGGGGAGCGUUCUAAGUGCAGUGAAGUCAGACCGGAAGGACUGGUGGAGCGCUUAGAAGUGAGAAUGCCGGUAUGAGUAGCGAAAGACGGGUGAGAAUCCCGUCCACCGAAUGCCUAAGGUUUCCUGAGGAAGGCUCGUCCGCUCAGGGUUAGUCAGGACCUAAGCCGAGGCCGACAGGCGUAGGCGAUGGACAACAGGUUGAUAUUCCUGUACCACCUCUUUAUCGUUUGAGCAAUGGAGGGACGCAGAAGGAUAGAAGAAGCGUGCGAUUGGUUGUGCACGUCCAAGCAGUUAGGCUGAUAAGUAGGCAAAUCCGCUUAUCGUGAAGGCUGAGCUGUGAUGGGGAAGCUCCUUAUGGAGCGAAGUCUUUGAUUCCCCGCUGCCAAGAAAAGCUUCUAGCGAGAUAAAAGGUGCCUGUACCGCAAACCGACACAGGUAGGCGAGGAGAGAAUCCUAAGGUGUGCGAGAGAACUCUGGUUAAGGAACUCGGCAAAAUGACCCCGUAACUUCGGGAGAAGGGGUGCUUUCUUAACGGAAAGCCGCAGUGAAUAGGCCCAAGCGACUGUUUAGCAAAAACACAGGUCUCUGCGAAGCCGUAAGGCGAAGUAUAGGGGCUGACACCUGCCCGGUGCUGGAAGGUUAAGGAGAGGGGUUAGCGUAAGCGAAGCUCUGAACUGAAGCCCCAGUAAACGGCGGCCGUAACUAUAACGGUCCUAAGG
rnacentral:rRNA from 1 species